AGCUCCCUGGGGUGUUCGAUACAUCUGCUAGAUCCCUCGAGCCGAUAAUCACUUUAUUAAGGGAAUGUCUCGUGGUUUUCUUUGUGCAUGUCCGCUUGACGGAAAGCCUUCUGAAGACUCAGGCGUUCCCACUCUGAACCUUUGGUUCAGGGUACAGGCGGAUAACGGCAUCAUCGGGGAGUCC
rnacentral:other from 1 species